GAUUAGGGUUUCUAUGUGAUCCUCUCUUCCAGAACUCAUCGUCGCCGUCUCCGCGUUUCAAAGUCUCAUCUCUUGGUCUCCCCUUUCGUUAUCUCACUCUCCACAUUCCCUGUGGUUCAGUGUUUGUAUUAAUUCUGCUAUAAUUUUUGAUCUUAUUUGAUCCAGAUUCCAUGUCGACAUCUCCUUUUCAUUCAUCUGGAAUCUGUAAAUAUAAAGGGGUUGAAAGUACGAUAGAUGGUCAGCACCACUGUCUGUUUAUCAUUUUUAAAGCGUACAAAGAUUUUCCAAAAUGGCUUCCUCCGAUGAUGUUGUUUCGCACCCCCGUUUGAUGCUCGCCGCCUUGGUAGAUCUGGUCAGUUCAUUGUUGCUUGUCUGCUCUGUUUUUGGGACUUGAAAAACAUCAAGAAUCAUGGUGAAUCACUCUACUCCUUGAUGAGAAGGUGUAGUAACGAGAAACGUCUCUUUCUCAGAUGAUGCUCCCCUUAUCAACCUACAGAAAUUCAUGCUCCAGGAGUUUGACCAUCUGCAAGCUCUCGCAAACACUAAUUUAGAACUUCCUGAUGUUCUUGGGCAAAUUCAAUCUGUGCAAGGUUCGGAUCUAAAGGACGCUGCGGUUAUGACUCGAGUUAUGCUCCGUUUCGUUGUUGAACUGAGUGUGGUCGUGUACCUUUCUCGGUGGGACGAUGCUGCAGCAAUGUUUAGAGGUCUCAUCAACUCACAGCAGAGUUUACAGCCAGCUGCAGUCAUAUUAUACCAUCUGGUUCCAGCUUAGAAGCCUUAAUCGGUGAAGCUUUCCCAUGUAUCGAUACCAAAAAGGAAUAAAAAAGAAGGAAGUUGUCUCAAUAGGAGAGCUAAACAAGUUCAUUUCCAAUUCUGACGAGCAGGUGAUAUUCCUGAAUCCAAGAAUGUUUAAAAAAAAAAAUUAGUUUAAGGUAGAAUUAUUAAAUAGUUCAGCUACUGCCUUGGUGAAGAGUGAAGACACAUGGGGUUGAUUUUAUUUGCAAGGCUGGGGAAUGGCUGGUCUUUCGUUUUUUUUUUCACUGGCUGCAGUAGGAAGCUUGGCAAAUCGGUGGCUUCUCUCCGUUGCAACAUCACCGGAGUUAUAGAGUACCGUGUUGAAUUAUUAGUUGGUGAUGGGAAUGAUAAUGCCACCUUUGUGGUGUUCGACAGAGAGAUGCUUAAACUGACUACGCAAGAUGCAGCUGGUCUGACUCUAGAUGAGAUGAAUGGUGGUGGCGGGAAUGAACUCCCACAAUGCCUUCAAGAACUUGCUGGAAAAGAUUUUGUUUUCCAGAUGCAUGUGAUACCAUUCAGUUUCACCCCCAUGCCACCGUAUUUUUACAGUUUCUGCAAUCAUUGACCACGUCAAUCAUGAGACUUUCAACACCACUGAAGUGGAGCUUCCGCAACUGCCAGCAACAAGGUUAGAUCUGAGGGGGACGAACCAAAUCCAUCCGGCUUUGACGGGAAAGAGGGUAGCCGCAAAGGCCCCCGUGAGUGAAGCUACCAAGCUUCACACCGUCAACCCAACUCUGCUUUUGUUUAUUUUCAUUUUCCAAGCAUUUUUUAUUCAAAGUUUUCUUAUUUAAGACACUUAUGAUUUUAAUAGCUUAAAAAGGGUUGACUUAAUAUUUUAUAUGGUGACCAAUAAAAUUUACAGCAUGAUUGUUUACAUA